rnacentral:lncRNA from 1 species
AUCUAACUUUAAAAUAAGACAGAGCAUGUCAUAGUUGGAGAAAAAUCAAGAAGUAGAGAAAGGCUUAUGUGGCAGCAGCAGCCCCUGCCCUGCCUUUCCCUCCCGUCCUCCAGAGGCUUCUCCUUCUUGGCUAUUUCUUCUGUUAGUCAUCUCCACGUUUCUCAAUAAUAGGUUCACACUACGGUUCUUGAUUUAAAUGGUGUAAAUAUUGCUUAUGGCACAGGCGAAUCGUAUUCCUGCUGCAACUGGAUGGUGCUGGCUUUAGUGACUGCCUCACUCUUCCCAGAUUGCACAGCUUUCUGUGUGCUGACCCUCCCUUCUUCCCAAAUUCUCCAUCAAAACUGUCUGCACUUGAUCUCUUGAGCCCAGGAGGUCAAGACUGCAGUGAGCCAUGAUCACACCACUGCACUCCAGCCUGGGCAGCGGAGUGAGACCCUGUCUCUUAAAAGAAACAGAAAACCCUGUGCCCACACUUGUUACCUCUCAUCCUCAGAUCUCUGUGCUAUCAGACCAUCUGACCAUUUUCUCUGUGCUUAGAGGCCCCUUCCUGAAACCCUCUGGCCCUGUAACAGCUGCCAGCUAGACCUGCGCUCCUGACAUCACAGCAGAGGGAGGGGAAGGGAAAGGAGGGCCAACGAGGAGAGCAGGACACCAAUGCAGUGUCGGUUUAGAGAGAGAACCUUAAGACCCCCUGCGGAAGGGGGCAAGGAGGUACGAGACCCAGCCAGGUUGGCAGCUGCAGCCCCGGGCCCUUCCCACACCUGCCUUCCAUCCCUGCAGUUGAUGGUGGCAUCACCCUUGAGAAGGAAAUCUCCAAAGAAGAGCUGGUUGCCGUCCUGGAGCUCUACCGGGAGGCACGGGGGGCCUCCUCGGAUGUCACCAGGCUGCUGGAGACCCUCUCCCAGAUGGAGAGAUACCAGCAACAUUCCAUGGUGUUUCUGGGACGGCGAUCAAGGACCAAGAGCGACCUGAGCCUGAAGAUGUACCAGGAGGAGAUCCAGAGAUGGUAUCGCUCUGUCACCUGGGCUGGAGUCCAGUGGCGUGAUCAUAGCUCACUGUAGCCUCCAACCCCUGGGCUCAAGUGAUCCUCCCCACUCAGCCUACCCAAGCAGCUGGAACUACAGGUGAGUGGUAUGAGGAGCAUGCCAGGGAGCAAGAGCAGCAGCGACAACUCAGCAGCAGUGCAGCCCCCGCCGCCCAGCAGCCCCCAGGCAGCCGCCAGCGCUCCCAGACCGUUACCUAGCCCAGCGCCCGAAAGCCGUCUCUUCUAUGCAAUAACAC